UGUGGCUCAGUGGUAGAGUGCUUGCCUAGCAUGCAUGAAGCCCUGGGUUCAAUUCCUCAGCA
rfam:Dipodomys ordii contig_45214, whole genome shotgun sequence.